ACACAUACACCUCCACUAUUUUAUUUUUGUUUCCUUUCUUUUCUUUUUCUUUUCUUUUCUUUUACAUCCAUAUUUACAAAAUACAAAUAAAAAUUCAAUACUAAAAAAAAUUACAUCAACAACUCAAAAUUACAAAAUAAUCCCUACAAUUCAAGAAGCACAAAUCUGAAAAGCAUUCUGGUCCGCCUGAACAGUGCUGAGGGAGGCUGCUAGGGGCGUGAACAGUGCUGGACAGCAGCGGCGCGUGGCCGGAAAAGAUGGGGGGCAGUCACGUCUGCCUCUCUUCUUCCCCACACCGGCGAGGACACCCACCGUCACCUGCAAACACACAAAAACGCAAACCACAGCAGUUGAUUUUAAUUUUUCUCAGUUUUUUUUAGAUCUGUUUUUGGGUCUUCUUCGUUUUGGAUCCGCUUCUCCUUUUGCUAUGUUUGGUUUCGUUGUUCUGUCCUCCUUCAGACGACUGAUAUGGUGAUUGUGAACGGAUUAUUGGAGGUCGCCGCUGGUGGUUCUCUCCGAUUGGCUUUCCCGAGGCCAAGGGAGGCGGCGGCUGGAGGAAGAAAGAUGUCGUCUGCCGGUGUCCCCGGCGGCUGAGGAAGGAAAGACCUGCUAGCCAAAGAAGGAAACCGAUGGUCUGCUGGCUGGAAGGUGGUGUCGCCGUGUUCGGCGAUGAGAGGAGAUGGUGGUGCAGCGGGG
rnacentral:lncRNA from 1 species